rnacentral:tRNA from 1 species
GGUUAUGGCUCAGUGGUAGAGCGCUAGCCUCGCACAUGCAAGUCCCUGGGUUCAACUCUCAGCACCA